GAUCUCAAAUCAAGUAAGACUACCCGCUGAACUUAAGCAUAUCAAUAAGCGGAGGAAAAGAAACUAACAAGGAUUCCCCUAGUAACGGCGAGUGAAGCGGGAUGAGCUCAAAUUUAAAAUCUGGCUGGUUUACUAGUCCGAACUGUAGUUUAAAGAAGCGUUUUCGGUGGCAGUCUCGGUAUAAAUCCUUUGGAAUAGGGUAUCAUAGAGGGUGAGAAUCCCGUCUUUGACUGAGAAUUUGCUACUAUGUGAUACGUUUUCAAAGAGUCGAGUUGUUUGGGAAUGCAGCUCAAAAUGGGUGGUAAAUUUCAUCUAAAGCUAAAUAUUGGCGAGAGACCGAUAGCGAACAAGUACCGUGAGGGAAAAAUGAAAAGAACUUUGAAAAGAGAGUUAAACAGUGCGUGAAAUUGUUGAAAGGGAAACGC
rnacentral:rRNA from 1 species